rnacentral:rRNA from 1 species
GAUGAACGCUGGCGGCGUGCCUAAUACAUGCAAGUCGAGCGAACAGACGAGGAGCUUGCUCCUCUGACGUUAGCGGCGGACGGGUGAGUAACACGUGGAUAACCUACCUAUAAGACUGGGAUAACUUCGGGAAACCGGAGCUAAUACCGGAUAAUAUAUUGAACCGCAUGGUUCAAUAGUGAAAGACGGUUUUGCUGUCACUUAUAGAUGGAUCCGCGCCGCAUUAGCUAGUUGGUAAGGUAACGGCUUACCAAGGCAACGAUGCGUAGCCGACCUGAGAGGGUGGUCCGCCACACUGGAACUGGGACACGGUCCAGACUCCUACGGGGGGCAGCAGUUGGGAAUCUUCCGCCAUUGGCGAAAGCCUGACGGAGCAACGCCGCGUGAGUGAUGAAGGUCUUCGGAUCGUAAAACUCUGUUAUUAGGGAAGAACAAAUGUGUAAGUAACUAUGCACGUCUUGACGGUACCUAAUCAGAAAGCCACGGCUAACUACGUG